CCUACGGGAGGCAGCAGUGAGGAAUAUUGGUCAAUGGCCGGAAGGCUGAACCAGCCAUGCCGCGUGAAGGUCAGUGCCCUAUGGGCGUUAAACUUCUUUUGUGCGGGAGCAAUAAUGGUCACGUGUGGCCAGACGAGAGUACCGUACGAAUAAGCAUCGGCUAACUCCGUGCCAGCAGCCGCGGUAAUACGGGGGAUGCAAGCGUUAUCCGGAUUUAUUGGGUUUAAAGGGUGCGUAGGCUGUGAGGUAAGUCAGCGGUGAAAUGCCCCCGCUCAACGGGGUGAAGUGCCAUUGAUACUGCCUGGCUGGAAUGCGGAUGCCGUGGGAGGAAUGUGUGGUGUAGCGGUGAAAUGCAUAGAUAUCACACAGAACACCGAUUGCGAAGGCAUCUCACGAAUCCGCGAUUGAUGCUGAUGCACGAAAGCGUGGGUAUCAAACAGGAUUAGAUACCCUAGUAGUC
rnacentral:rRNA from 1 species